AACGAACGCUGGCGGCAGGCCUAACACAUGCAAGUCGAGCGGAUGAAGGGAGCUUGCUCUCCGAUUCAGCGGCGGACGGGUGAGUAAUGCCUAGGAAUCUGCCUGGUAGUGGGGGACAACGUUUCGAAAGGAACGCUAAUACCGCAUACGUCCUACGGGAGAAAGUGGGGGAUCUUCGGACCUCACGCUAUCAGAUGAGCCUAGGUCGGAUUAGCUAGUUGGUGGGGUAAUGGCCUACCAAGGCGACGAUCCGUAACUGGUCUGAGAGGAUGAUCAGUCACACUGGAACUGAGACACGUUCCAGACUCCUACGGGAGGCAGCAGUGGGGAAUAUUGGACAAUGGGCGAAAGCCUGAUCCAUCCAUGCCGCGUGUGUGAAGAAGGUCUUCGGAUUGUAAAGCACUUUAAGUUGGGAGGAAGGGCUGCUGGUUAAUACCCUGCAGUUUUGACGUUACCAACAGAAUAAGCACCGGCUAACUUCGUGCCAGCAGCCGCCGUAACAC
rnacentral:rRNA from 1 species